rnacentral:lncRNA from 1 species
CCUUGAGCAAGCAGAAAAGGAUAAAUCAAGUCUUGAAUUAGAAUAUAAUGAGAAGCUUAAAGUUAACGAUGCUGAAAUAUUGGAAAUAAAGACACAAGAAGAGGAGAAGAAACAGAUUGUUACUGAAGAUUAUGAGAAACUGAAACUCAAAGUAGCUGAUAUGGA